GGCUCAGGAUGAACGCUAGCGGCAGGCCUAACACAUGCAAGUCGAACGGUAACAGGAAUUAGCUUGCUAAUUUGCUGACGAGUGGCGCACGGGUGCGUAACGCGUAUGCAACCUACCUUUUACAGGGGGAUAGCCCAGAGAAAUUUGGAUUAAUAUCCUAUAGUAUAUGUUUUUGGCAUCAAAAACAUAUUAAAGUUCCGGCGGUAAAAGAUGGGCAUGCGUUCUAUUAGCUAGAUGGUGUGGUAACGGCACACCAUGGCUACGAUAGAUAGGGGCCCUGAGAGGGGGAUCCCCCACACUGGUACUGAGACACGGACCAGACUCCUACGGGAGGCAGCAGUGAGGAAUAUUGGACAAUGGGCGCAAGCCUGAUCCAGCCAUGCCGCGUGCAGGAAGACUGCCCUAUGGGUUGUAAACUGCUUUUAUACAGGAAGAAACACCUCUACGUGUAGAGGCUUGACGGUACUGUAAGAAUAAGGAUCGGCUAACUCCGUGCCAGCAGCCGCGGUAAUACGGAGGAUCCAAGCGUUAUCCGGAAUCAUUGGGUUUAAAGGGUCCGUAGGUGGAUAAUUAAGUCAGAGGUGAAAUCCUGCAGCUCAACUGUAGAAUUGCCUUUGAUACUGGUUGUCUUGAGUUAUUAUGAAGUAGUUAGAAUAUGUAGUGUAGCGGUGAAAUGCAUAGAUAUUACAUAGAAUACCAAUUGCGAAGGCAGAUUACUAAUAAUCAACUGACACUGAUGGACGAAAGCGUGGGGAGCGAACAGGAUUAGAUACCCUGGUAGUCCACGCCGUAAACGAUGGUCACUAGCUGUUCGAACUUCGGUUUGAGUGGCUAAGCGAAAGUGAU
rnacentral:rRNA from 1 species